rnacentral:rRNA from 1 species
AUCCUGCCGGAGGACAUUGCUAUAGGGAUUCGAUUUAGCCAUGCUCGUCGAGCGAGUUCAGACUCGCGGCGAAUAGCUCAGUAACACGUGGCCAAGCUCCCCUUCAGUCAGCGAUACCCUCGGGAAACUGAGGUUAACAGCCGAUACAAAACGCCAGCUGGAAUGCGGCGUUUCAGAAAGACAUCGCUGAAGGAUGCGGCUGCGGCCGAUUAGGUAGACGGUGGGGUAACGGCCCACCGUGCCAGUAAUCGGUACGGGUGAUGAGAGUCAGAGCCCGGAGACGGAAUCUGAGACAAGAUUCCGGGCCCUACGGGGCGCAGCAGGCGCGAAACCUUUACACUGCACGGAAGUGCGAUAGGGGAAUCCCAAGUGCGAGGGCAUAUUAGCCCUCGCUUUUCUCGACUGUAAGGUGGUCGACGAAUAAGAGCUGGGCAAGACCGGUGCCAGCCGCCGCGGUAAUACCGGCAGCUCAAGUGAUGUCCCAUAUUAUUGGGCCUAAAGCGUCCGUAGCUGGCCGACCAAGUCUCGCGGAUAUCCACCCUGCCCAACGCGUGGGCGUCCGGUAGAAAC